CAAUGAUUCAAUUUUCUUGGUAUUCAUUGCUGAGAGUUCAAAAUAGAGAAGGCAUAUGUUGUAGGCCAGUACAUUUUCAAAAGAGCAGUCUUUCUUGGAAGCAGGUGAGAGAUCUCUGCUAACUGAUGUUCAAACUUUUGAUCCCCAUUCCUCUUCUGAUACAUGAGUGCAUGAGCUGCACUGACACCUUUUAGUACAUAGAACUCAAACUGCUCCACAAAGGUUCUUCUGAAAAGGAAAGGCACUUGUCACAGAAGUAUUCUGUAUUACUUGCUCCUCAUUAAAUGUUAGACUUUUGGGGAAAACAUUUAGUCUGUAGUCAAAUGUGUGUGUCCAGGUCGUACGUGCAAGCCUGCAGCAGCUCUCAUUUUGCUAGCUAAGCCCUAACAGCAGGAUAGCCCUGGUAGUGCACAGCUUGGUGUGCUGUGAGUGCUACUCUGCUUUGCAGGGAGGUUUUGUGCAUUGCCCUUGGGCCCCCACUGCUGCAGCCAAGCUAUUAUUGGUGCCUGAGCUGGCUGGCAUAAACCUACUUUGUGUCUGUCUGUGCAGCUUCAGGCAUACCUUUGUCUGCAGUUGUAGACAUUCUCUGUGAUAGGGUUUCUGCCGUGUGGAGCCUGCAGGUCAUGCAAGUAGGUCCCAAGAUACUUAUUUUAUUUGUUAAUGUACUGACUCAAACACAAUGGAAAUAUCUGCAGGGAUGUUGUGGUACGCUGGCCCUGUGCCUCUACCAGUUCUUGCUAAUGCUUCCUGUUCCUCCCCAACGCUGCAGGCCCAGCACCAGGACUCCUGCCAGAACUCCUCCUGGAUGCUGAAGAUUGCUAUGAUGCUGGCGCAGAGUGCAGGAAGGCCAUCUUCUCUUCACACCGUCAGCAUUUCCUCUUUGGUGGCGUGGGAAGCAGAGAGCAACUGGUGAGGACCAAGGCAAAGGCCUCUUCUUGGCCAAGUCUGCUGAAGUCAGACAAAGCACGCGUCUAGAUCUGUGCCUUUGAGCUUCAUGAUGGAUAUAAAACAGGGCAGUAUGGGUGGAGGAAAGGUGUGCCUUGUGCGAGGAACGUCUUCAUCCUCAGUCACACUGCAAACCUGUGUGACUGGAAUCCAGUUUGAUUAAAGGAAGGGGAGUGUGGCCACCAGUGUGAGCAAUGUGUCUGAGUUCACUUGCUGGAAUUAGGAGGUGCUGGUAUUUUCACUUGUAAGUAUUCCCACUUUGUCUCACUUCAUAGGCUUUGGCUUUCUAACCAUGCAAGCAGAAUAUUCAUGCUGAAAAUACUGACAAAUAGUUGCAGGCAUUUUUUAAUGAGAAUAACAUUCUCUCUGUCAAACCCUGAUUUCAGCUAUCACUGGUACUCACAUUUGGGGCUGCCACGUUCUUUACAAAAUGUGGGCACUUGUAAAGGAAGAAAGUGACUGUAAGUAACUGGGAUGACUGGUUGGAGCCCGCAGUAUCCCUGCUAUUCUGGUUUCUGCUUCUUCAGGCGUUCAUUCCUACCCAGUUAUUUCCAUGAUAAUCGAUGGCCCACCCAUUUUUGAGCUAUGUGGGUUAAGACAGACAGAAUCUUUAAAUACGCUGAACAUUCUCGCUCAUUCCCAUCUAUUAUGAUCUUUUUUUUCUGCCUACUUGUGUGAGAGAUAUUAAUAGUUGAGUGGAAGAUGUAUUUUUCUGAUGUUCUUAACAUCCAAGGGGUCAAACAAUUCUGUAUUUGUAUUUAUUAUGUGUACAUCAUUGGGUUCUCUGAAUUCCUGCUGCUGAUGGUUGAAGUAAAAGCUACAUUCAUGCUGGAUCAAAACUCAGCUGAGCAUUAUCCUUCCAAGCCUGAAGCAUUGUAGAGCAUGUACACGCAGGCACUUGCUAGUUUUUUGUCCAUAGCCAAGUUAUCCAGCUUUUUCCAAGAGCAGAAGCCUUCCUGGGUUAAUGGAAAUUCUGAAAUAUUUUGAGAUACAGUCCACAUAAUUCAAAGAGUAGAAUUUUUCAUGUUCCUUGAGGCAGAUUCAAUUAACAUUUUGCUCAGGAGCAGUACAGAUCCUGUCUCAGUACCACUGGUGGGGGCAUUCAGGAAGGUUUGGACAAGUUGUUUUCAUUUAUUUUUUUUCUUUGUGUAUUGAAAUUCCUCAAGUGUCUGAAGUGAUUGACUUUGUUACGGUGGUGGAUGAGAAAUAUUUGUGGCUGGAAUUAUUAAGGUUGUUAAAUGAACAAAGGCUCAUUUUACUUUUUUACUACCACUACCAAAUUGCUAGGUUUUCAUUGCAUAGAAACAGGUACCUCCUAGUUUUUGCCUAGAAACCUUGAUCAUGAGCUCUGAUCCUCCAAGAUGUUGCACAAGCAAAGAACACAAACGUGGCUGAUUUUCAACACUUGCACGGAUUGACUGAGCUGCUCUAUUCCCUGCACUAGCUAUGAAACACCAGUCAGCAGACGCGGGUGUGACUCUGGACAAAAUUCAUGUAGGUUUGACAAUGGUAGGAUAUUUUCAAGGGAAUGGGGAUUUUUUCCCAAGUUGAAAGGACUUGAGAACAUGAGAAGGUGUGAGGUUACGUACGGUUGGCAAGCCAGUGAUAGGACCAAAGUGAGAUGGUGGGAGUCUGCACGAGAGCAUUGCAUGAAGGGCGAAUAAAAGGGGAAAGCCCAACUGAGCAGGGUGUUCAGGGCAGCGAGCUGCAUGACAAACGUGGGGCCUGCUUGAUGGUAGGUUAGAGGCUCUUCUUUUUGUAUGCUUUGAAGGAAUGGCUGGCUGCAAAGACAGGCAAAGAUUUUCACUGGGGUAAGAUAACUCCCGAAUGGAGAGGUAGAUCCCAAAUGGAGAGGCUCUUUCUGAAUGCAUGUUAUGUGUUUUAGUUUUAUGGGCUAGGUUCACCUUGCAGUGAGUACAGAGGGAAUGAUGAUAAUUACUGACCGGCUGGGGAACUGGGUGCAAGGAGGGGACCGGGGGAAGGCAGCCCUGGAAACGGAGGGAGAGCAAAACAUCCCAGAGAGCCAGGCUGAUAACGCUGUCACGAUGGAAACGAAGCAGUAUUCCAGAAACCAGGCCAAGAAGCGGAUGUCACAAACCUUGGCAGAGGGUCGGAGCCAGAUAAGGGAAAGCCGAGGGUGGGCUCGGGGCGGGGGCUGCAGGCAGCACUGAGAGCCGGGAGGGGAGA